GGACUACUGGGGUUUCUAAUCCUGUUCGCUCCCCUAGCUUUCGCGCCUGAGCGUCAGCGACCAGCCAGGACACUGCCUUCGCCUUUGGUAUUCCUCCGGAUAUCUACGCAUUUCACCACUCCACCCGGAAUUCUGUGUCCCUCUCUGGCCCUCAAGUGCCACAGUUUUCGAGGAGCCUGGUUCAGUUAAGCCGAACCCUGUCACCCCAAACUUGUCGCACCGCCUGCGCGCCCUUUACGCCCAGUAACUCCGGACAACGCUCGCCCCCUACGUCUUACCGCGGCUGCUGGCAC
rnacentral:rRNA from 1 species